rnacentral:rRNA from 1 species
AAACCAACAGGGAUUGCCUCAGUAACGGCGAGUGAAGCGGCAACAGCUCAAAUUUGAAAUCUGGCUCUUUCAGGGUCCGAGUUGUAAUUUGUAGAAGAUGCUUUGGGUGUAGCUCCGGUCUAAGUUCCUUGGAACAGGACGUCAUAGAGGGUGAGAAUCCCGUACGUGACUGGGUGCUUUCGCUCGUGUAAAGCUCUUUCGACGAGUCGAGUUGUUUGGGAAUGCAGCUCAAAAUGGGUGGUAAAUUUCAUCUAAAGCUAAAUAUUGGCCAGAGACCGAUAGCGCACAAGUAGAGUGAUCGAAAGAUGAAAAGCACUUUGGAAAGAGAGUUAAACAGUACGUGAAAUUGUUGAAAGGGAAGCGCUUGCAACCAGACUUGCACGCUGUUGAUCAUCCGAGAUUUUUCCCGGUGCACUCGGCAGUGUUCAGGCCAGCAUCGGUUUUGGUGGGCGGAUAAAGGCCUUGGGAAUGUAGCUUCUUUCGGGGAGUGUUAUAGCCCUCGGUGCAAUGCGCCCUACCGGGACCGAGGACCGCGCUUCGGCUAGGAUGCUGGCGUAAUGGUUGUAAGCGAC